rnacentral:rRNA from 1 species
GGGACACGUGGUAUCCUGUCUGAAUAUGGGGGGACCAUCCUCCAAGGCUAAAUACUCCUGACUGACCGAUAGUGAACCAGUACCGUGAGGGAAAGGCGAAAAGAACCCCGGCGAGGGGAGUGAAAAAGAACCUGAAACCGUGUACGUACAAGCAGUGGGAGCACGCUUAGGCGUGUGACUGCGUACCUUUUGUAUAAUGGGUCAGCGACUUAUAUUCUGUAGCAAGGUUAACCGAAUAGGGGAGCCGAAGGGAAACCGAGUCUUAACUGGGCGUUAAGUUGCAGGGUAUAGACCCGAAACCCGGUGAUCUAGCCAUGGGCAGGUUGAAGGUUGGGUAACACUAACUGGAGGACCGAACCGACUAAUGUUGAAAAAUUAGCGGAUGACUUGUGGCUGGGGGUGAAAGGCCAAUCAAACCGGGAGAUAGCUGGUUCUCCCCGAAAGCUAUUUAGGUAGCGCCUCGUGAAUUCAUCUCCGGGGGUAGAGCACUGUUUCGGCAAGGGGGUCAUCCCGACUUACCAACCCGAUGCAAACUGCGAAUACCGGAGAAUGUUAUCACGGGAGACACACGGCGGGUGCUAACGUCCGUCGUGAAGAGGGAAACAACCCAGACCGCCAGCUAAGGUCCCAAAGUCAUGGUUAAGUGGGAAACGAUGUGGGAAGGCCCAGACAGCCAGGAUGUUGGCUUAGAAGCAGCCAUCAUUUAAAGAAAGCGUAAUAGCUCACUGGUCGAGUCGGCCUGCGCGGAAGAUGUAACGGGGCUAAACCAUGCACCGAAGCUGCGGCAGCGACGCUUAUGCGUUGUUGGGUAGGGGAGCGUUCUGUAAGCCUGCGAAGGUGUGCUGUGAGGCAUGCUGGAGGUAUCAGAAGUGCGAAUGCUGACAUAAGUAACGAUAAAGCGGGUGAAAAGCCCGCUCGCCGGAAGACCAAGGGUUCCUGUCCAACGUUAAUCGGGGCAGGGUGAGUCGACCCCUAAGGCGAGGCCGAAAGGCGUAGUCGAUGGGAAACAGGUUAAUAUUCCUGUACUUGGUGUUACUGCGAAGGGGGGACGGAGAAGGCUAUGUUGGCCGGGCGACGGUUGUCCCGGUUUAAGCGUGUAGGCUGGUUUUCCAGGCAAAUCCGGAAAAUCAAGGCUGAGGCGUGAUGACGAGGCACUACGGUGCUGAAGCAACAAAUGCCCUGCUUCCAGGAAAAGCCUCUAAGCAUCAGGUAACAUCAAAUCGUACCCCAAACCGACACAGGUGGUCAGGUAGAGAAUACCAAGGCGCUUGAGAGAACUCGGGUGAAGGAACUAGGCAAAAUGGUGCCGUAACUUCGGGAGAAGGCACGCUGAUAUGUAGGUGAAGUGAUUUACUCAUGGAGCUGA